rnacentral:rRNA from 1 species
UCAGUAACACGUAGUCAACCUAACUCGUGGACGUGGAUAACCUCGGGAAACUGAGAAUAAACCACGAUAGAUCAUAGUGCCUGGAAUGGCUUAUGGUUCAAACAGUUUACUGCCAUGGGAUGGGACUGCGGCCUAUCAGCUUGUUGGUGAGGUAAUGGCCCACCAAGGCGAUUACAGGUACGGGCUCUGAGAGGAGAAGCCCGGAGAUGGGUACUGAGACACGGACCCAGUGCCCUAUGGGGCGCAGCAGGCGAGAAACCUUAGCAAUGUGCGAAAGCACGACUGGGUCAGUCCGAGUGAUUCCUGAUAAAGGAGUCUUUUGCUUGUCCUAAAAGCACAGGUGAAUAAGGGGUGGGCAAGUCUGGUGCCA